rnacentral:rRNA from 1 species
AGCGAACGUUUGCGGCGGGCCUAACACAUGCAAGUCGAACGCACUAGCAAUAGUGAGUGGCGCACGGGUGCGUAACACGUGGGUAAUCAACCUUUCAGCCUGGGAUAACGACUCGAAAGGGUCGCUAAUACCGGAUACGGCGCGAGAGGCUUCGGCUUCUCACGAGAAAGCCACGCAAGGGGCACUGAAGGACGAGCCUGUGGCCCAUCAGCUAGUUGGUGAGGUAAGAGCUCACCAAGGCUAAGACGGGUAGCUGGUCUGAGAGGAUGAUCAGCCACACUGGAACUGAGACACGGUCCAGACUCCUACGGGAGGCAGCAGUGGGGAAUAUUGGACAAUGGGGGCAACCCUGAUCCAGCCACGCCGCGUGUGUGAAGAAGGCCUCGGUUGUAAG